rnacentral:lncRNA from 1 species
AUACUUAAUGAAGUAGAAUUUGCCAUCUCUAAAGUCUUUAGUAAUAUUAUUUUUAUCUAAUGUCUUUAUAAAGCAUCUAUUCUUAUCAAAUUACAUAUUACAACCAUGUGAAAUUAAUUUAUUCAUUAAAAGGAGAUUUUAUUUUAUUUUUGAUACAUACAAGAUGUUCUUCAAUGUGAUCUUCUUAGUUUGUCCUCUCAUAACAAUUGCUAUUGCAAUGGAGUCCAUUUUAAUGUCUUGUACUAUGCCAUUGUCUUCAAUAAUAAUAUUUCUUGCCAAAAUUUCUUUAUAAGUGUCAAAUAAAUACUUGUAUAGAAUCAUAUACUUAGUAGCACCUAAAUCAACAAUCCACUUAGAUAUGGCAACUAUGGAAGUGCCUUCAUUUUCCAUGAAUGAAAAAUCAUCUCUUUUAAAUUGUUCAUAUAUAUUAUUGGCACAUUCUCUAUUUAAUUUUUUUGCCUUAUAAUAAUUUUGUACAAAGUGAUUGAUUUUUUCACAAAUGAAGUAAGUUUUUUCAUUACCACGUUG